CGAGAGUGUCACCACUCCCAACCCAUUGUUUACCUACCCGUCCACCGUGCUUCGGCAGGCAGCCCUGUGGGGACAGAGCCUCGCCCCCCUCCGCGGGGGGUGCCUGCCGCUGGCCAACCAACAACUCUAGCUGUUUUAGUACCAUCUGAGUCUUCCACAAAUGAACA
rnacentral:misc_RNA from 1 species